rnacentral:rRNA from 1 species
GACGAACUUUGGCGGCGUGCUUAACACAUGCAAGUCGAACGGAAAGGCCCUGCUUUUGUGGGGUGCUCGAGUGGCGAACGGGUGAGUAACACGUGAGUAACCUGCCCUUGACUUUGGGAUAACUUCAGGAAACUGGGGCUAAUACCGGAUAGGAGCUCCUGCUGCAUGGUGGGGGUUGGAAAGUUUCGGCGGUUGGGGAUGGACUCGCGGCUUAUCAGCUUGUUGGUGGGGUAGUGGCUUACCAAGGCUUUGACGGGUAGCCGGCCUGAGAGGGUGACCGGCCACAUUGGGACUGAGAUACGGCCCAGACUCCUACGGGAGGCAGCAGUGGGGAAUAUUGCACAAUGGGCGGAAGCCUGAUGCAGCAACGCCGCGUGCGGGAUGACGGCCUUCGGGUUGUAAACCGCUUUCGCCUGUGACGAAGCGUGAGUGACGGUAAUGGGUAAAGAAGCACCGGCUAACUACGUGCCAGCAGCCGCGGUGAUACGUAAGGUGCGAGCGUUGUCCGGAUUUAUUGGGCGUAAGGGCUCGUAGGUGGUUGAUCGCGUCGGAAGUGUGAUCUUGGGGCUUAACCCUGAGCGUGCUUUCGAUACGGGUUGACUUGAGGAAGGUAGGGGAGAAUGGAAUUCCUGGUGGAGCGGUGGAAUGCGCAGAUAUCAGGAGGAACACCAGUGGCGAAGGCGGUUCUCUGGGCCUUUCCUGACGCUGAGGAGCGAAAGCGUGGGGAGCGAACAGGCUUAGAUACCCUGGUAGUCCACGCUGUAAACGGUGGGUACUAGGUGUGGGGUCCAUUCCACGGGUUCCGUGCCGUAGCUAACGCUUUAAGUACCCCGCCUGGGGAGUACGGCCGCAAGGCUAAAACUCAAAGGAAUUGACGGGGCCCCGCACAAGCGGCGGAGCAUGCGGAUUAAUUCGAUGCAACGCGUAGAACCUUACCUGGGUUUGACAUGGAUCGGGAGUGCUCAGAGAUGGGUGUGCCUCUUUUGGGGUCGGUUCACAGGUGGUGCAUGCCUGUCGUCAGCUCGUGUCGUGAGAUGUUGGGUUAAGUCCCGCAACGAGCGCAACCCUUGUUCACUGUUGCCAGCACGUUAUGGUGGGGACUCAGUGGAGACCGCCGGGGUCAACUCGGAGGAAGGUGGGGAUGACGUCAAGUCAUCAUGCCCCUUAUGUCCAGGGCUUCACGCAUGCUACAAUGGCUGGUACAGAGAGUGGCGAGCCUGUGAGGGUGAGCGAAUCUCGGAAAGCCGGUCUCAGUUCGGAUUGGGGUCUGCAACUCGACCUCAUGAAGUCGGAGUCGCUAGUAAUCGCAGAUCAGCAACGCUGCGGUGAAUACGUUCCCGGGGCU